AGCCUUGUGUAAUUGUGAAUGAAAUUGCGGAUCAAAAUAGUGUAGAUGUUAGAAUGGAUUUGAAAAAGAAUGUCUGUUUAGUAUGUCAUCAUCAUGUUCGUUAUUAUUAGCUAUUAUUACUGAUGGAUGUGGUAUGGAACUGCUAUGGUCAUGUUCUUUUGAAGGCCUGAUAUCACGAAGAAUAUUAUCGCUAACUUUUUAGUUUUUUCACCUUUUAUGAGAUAUCACUCCUGUGUGUGCCUGGAAUGGAAUGUUCCAAUUAUGGGUGGGUAUAGUUACCUGUAGGGGUGAGUACAGUUACCUGUAAAAAUGGUUUCUCUGGAGGCUACUCUUCCUCAGUUAGUUUUCUCAGAUGUCCGAGGUGUAUUCUAGCGUGUGUGUUAUUUAAAGAGAGCUCUGUCUCAAUAUGCUGUAAUGACUGUGCAUAUUCAACUCUUUUGUAAAUAUUUUUCAGUUUGUUUUAUUUGGUCCUUUUGCUUGUUUUUUUAUUUUUAUUUACCCCUUUUUUUUGCACUGGAAACUCCAACCCCCUUGGUGGUGGGUGAAUUACUUACAAGCCACUCAGUUUGUGUCUUCCUGCUGCCUUCUUGUGCCUACCCUAGAUACCUUCAACACACAACAUUUGGGUGGCAGCGCUGGGAUGGCUUGCCGUGAGGCCAUAGGAGGCGUGCCCGGUGUGUGAACCGUACGAGGGACCCCCAGGUUAGGCUGACCCCUGUGUGAGGGACCCCAGAGAUGGGUGAGGGACCCCCAGGUUAGGCUGACCCCUGUGUGAGGGACCCCAGAGAUGGGUGAAGAACCAUUGUGUUAUACAACCUGGGAUGGGAGAAGUACGGUUGAAGGAUGCGUGAGGGACCUCGACGUGUGUGUGAAGUGCAAUGGGUGCGCUUCCCGAAAGGGGAGGGCAGUGUGACGGAGUGGCGUUACUACAGUUGAGUAUGCACUUUGACUGCCACACCAACGGGUUGUUUGUUUGUGGUCAGGGUGAAGUUUGGUACCCCGUAGACCCAGGUUUGGUGCCUGCUCUCUCCUUUCACUACAGGGUAUCUCACACAAGGACCUAGAGCCUCCAGAACAAAGUGUGUAUGAGGGCUGUCAAAAGGUAGAUGUUUGGCAUAGAUCAUUUUCCUUUCAGAGACACAUUGUGUCUGUGGUGGUUCUUAAUUGCUACAACUUUCCUUUUGCAAAAUGGUUUCCAG
ensembl:lncRNA